rnacentral:lncRNA from 1 species
AUACUCAAGUGGUCUCUCCUCUUCCCAUACACACCUUACGGAUUCUUCACAGGGUGUGAUGAUGGGAAGCCUAGACACGCUUAUCAGAAGUUUGUCCUCUUAUCGGGAUACGUCAGAAAUUAGAGAGACCCUGGCAAUCACAGCUUCCACCUCCUCAUUUUACAAAUGAGCAACUAGGCUCAGAGUACAGAAGUGGCUUUCCCAGGGUCACACAGCCAGCUUGUGACAGAGUCAGGAUUCAAGUACCAUCUCCUGACUUCUCCAUUGCACCAGACGUCGAUAGAACACAGAGAACCUAAAAGAAGAAAGAAAAAAAAAUAGAGCUUUUGGGAAUAUAUUGGGCUUCUGGUUUUCAAGGACAAUUUUAUGAUAAGUAGCAAUGAUGCCUCAAAAGCUCUGGUAGCUAGCUUGAAUGAACUUAUGUAAUAAACAUUUAUCACAGAACAUGUGUCAUCAAACACCUGCCAGUUCUGAGCGUUGGCACCAAAGCUGCUUUCAUUGUCAAAGAAAAGAGGGGGAAAGGAACUUGGCUGAACAAAGCUGGCAGACGUUUAUACUAGAAAAUUUAGAGGUAAUUUCUAGAGGAACAGAAACACAUUUUCAAAGUCUUAUAAAAUUUAUUUAAAUGUGAUUGGGUGAAUUUAGCAGUUAAAGAAGUGAAGAACACUGAGGUCCAAUUGGUGCCUGAGGCUUCUUCCAGGACCCAGUCUUUUCUGUCUGCCUUGGGCACAGAUUUCUAGAUGCCUGAAGAUGGACAGGCCCAGAGGUUGCCCAGAGUGAUGUCUGAGAUUACUGAUCUCUAUCUAGGCUUCCAUAGAAACACAUCCCAAAACGUUCUUGGUUCUUAUUGGAAUCUCAUCUCAUUUGCAGAACAUGGCCAGAGUCAAAGAGACAUGGACCAUGUGUCACUCAGACUGAGUCCAUCCAUACAAAGAGAAUUCUCUAGCCUGUAUUGGAAGUCAAUCUACAUCAGCAUGACAGGGCAUGUAGCCGAAUACGUGGCCACUUCCCUUUGGCUACCCACACAUUUUUGAACUGCAAGAUCUGUUCUUUAUCUACUCAUCUAAUGGUUAUUACUGGGAGAGCACUGGACUAUAAAUUCUGUUGCACUUGCAGGUGUAAUGAGCUCUUUGAACCUCAGUUUCCUCACCCAUCAGAUACUAUUCAUUAUCUGCCUUGCGGACAACACCUAGUUGUUGGGAACAUUGCAUGAAUGGCAGGUGGAGGUGCUUUGUAAACGCUAAAGCCUGCCAUGAAUGUGAAGGAGUGUUGCUACUCUUCUGUGCCCAACAAUGUGCUAGCACCAAGGGAGUUCAAAAGAAAUGUGAGACAUGGUCCCUACCCUCCAGGAACUUACAACUCAUUGUUGGGAGACCAAGACACAUCCCCUAAAAACAGAUAUGUAACACCUCAAGUCUGUGAAGUACUUACUAUUUAAAUGAUGCCCAGAGCCUCUGAAUCCCCUAGAAGUACAGAGGAGGGGGAGAUCAUUAAUGGUGUGGAGAAGUUGGAGGAGGUGAGACGAUGCCAGG